GCCAGGCGCGGUGGCUCACGUCUGUAAUCCCAGCACUUUGGGAGGCUGAGGCGGGUGGAUCACCUGAGGUCAGGAGUUCGAGACAAGCCUGGCCAACAUGGUGAAACCCCGCCUCUA
ensembl:misc_RNA Metazoa_SRP Metazoan signal recognition particle RNA